rnacentral:rRNA from 1 species
GACAGAGGGUGCAAACGUUGUUCGGAAUUACUGGGCGUAAAGCGCGUGUAGGCGGCCCUGCAAGUCGGGUGUGAAAUCCCAUGGCUCAACUAUGGAAGUGCAUUCGAAACUGCAGGGCUAGAGUCCUGGAGAGGAAGGUGGAAUGCUUGGUGUAGAGGUGAAAUUCGUAGAUAUCAAGCGGAACACCGGUGGCGAAGGCGGCCUUCUGGACAGUGACUGACGCUGAGACGCGAAAGCGUGGGGAGCAAACAGG